AGAGUUUGAUCCUGGCUCAGGAUGAACGCUAGCUACAGGCUUAACACAUGCAAGUCGAGGGGAAACGACAUCGAAAGCUUGCUUUUGAUGGGCGUCGACCGGCGCACGGGUGAGUAACGCGUAUCCAACCUGCCCACCACUUGGGGAUAACCUUGCGAAAGUAAGACUAAUACCCAAUGAUAUCUCUAGAAGACAUCUGAAAGAGAUUAAAGAUUUAUCGGUGAUGGAUGGGGAUGCGUCUGAUUAGCUUGUUGGCGGGGUAACGGCCCACAAGGCGACGAUCAGGUAGGGGUUCUGAGAGGAAGGUCCCCCANAUUGGAACUGAGACACGGUCCAAACUCCGUACGGGAGCA
rnacentral:rRNA from 1 species